rnacentral:lncRNA from 1 species
CAAACUGAGCUUGGGUACUUUAGCAUUUUGUGAAUGCAGCCUUACUUUUUUGGCUACUAGGCAAACAUUCAUUUAAAAUCUACUCUCUGGUCAUUGUCCAUCAACACCUGAGAGAAACAACUCUCUUUUUAGCUGCUGAAUGCUUCCCUGUGUCCACCAGCUUUCUGCUAACUGUGUUUUUCUCUGUCAUGUGCUGGGCUGGUAGUGUAGAAUAGGAAUAAGUCCUUUCACAUAAAACAAUUGUGUGCUAUGGUCAGUAAUGGUUUUGAGGGUAAACUUAAAGAUUAAAGCUUCUAGAUAAUCAAAAGACUGAUGUGAAAAUUGCUAGCUUAAGCUAAGGCAAACUGCAGAGUUGGGGAAUAAAUCUUCCUGGGUUCUCCCACAGGAGCUGUCAUUUUUCCCACCAAUGACUAGCUUUAACUGCUUUGGGGGGGGAACGUAAUCAUAAAUAAAAAUGGGAGAAAAAAAUUAACAUAAUUGUUCAGAAAAGAAUUUGCAUGCUGGGGAAUUAAUUUUUUUAACUCAUUUGGGACCCUACUUUAGGCUGUUCUGAGAGUAGGAGGACAAAAACUCACCAAAUCUUCUAUUAGUAAAUGGAAUUUAGGACAAAAUCUAACAAUACAGGUCUGCCUCUGAGCACAAUGUAUAAAAAUCGAGUACGGGCAUCAGAAGUUUUCAUAGACAGAGAGCUGCCAUGACUCUGCACAUGAUCCCUGAUGUUGCAGCCCCUGGACCUCAGCUGUAACAACUUGUGUAAGGAUGUGUUUUGACCAGAGUCACCAGCAACUGCCACUCAUGUUCACCACAGGACUGAAAGGUUCCUGACUCAAACACAUGCUGCAUAUGUGGGCCUGGGUCCUCUAAAGGGCUCCAGGCUACGGGCAGGGGGCUUGGACAUAAUGUAAGAUCACGGUGAAGAAAAAAGACUGGCCAAACCGUGUUUGCUCGAGGGGCUCUUGGACAGAUGCUGCGACCAUGCAGGCUGGUAGUUGUGCUGCAGAGAAAGAAGAAGCUAUCUGAGAAAGGAAGGAACAAGAUAGAUAAAUUUGGCUUAAAGAGAGAAAAUUAAAUUCUCUGAUGAGGAAUUACUGUGGACGAUGGAGGUGGCUGAUGGGUGAGGGGGAGUCAAAAACAACAUCAACAAAGAAUAGCAGUAUAAGAAAGUGAGAGACAGCUAGAAAAAGAAAAAGAGAGAGGGAAAAAGAGAUAGAGAGAGAGGUGGGCGAUUGGCCUUAUGAGAGAGUUGUCAUGGUAACAACUGAUCAUGAUGAGGUUGAGAAUGAUCAGAGAGGACUUUUGGAAAGAAAGUGCAAAUACAUACAGAAGAUACAUAACCCCACUGGACUUGAGGCACCAAUACGAGAUGAAAUUAUGUAAGAAUUGGCAACAUGGGAUGGAAACCAGUUCAAAAGUUUGCUGUUAUGGUUGACUUUCAAACUUCAUAUUUAACAACCAUUCAAUUUACAUCUGAUUAAGCUGAAGCACAGCAUAGCAGCUCUCAGGAGAAAUAUGGUUUCAUUAAAUAAUCAAAGGUGGUUUCAUAAAUAAUGUGGGGGUUGUUUGUGCUAAGCUUUAUUGCAAAAUAAUACGGCUGCAAGUUCAACCAGAUGAUCUUUGUAUAUAUUAAGUUACAGGCUUUUUGAAUCGUCUGUAUAAAUGGCAGAGUGGCUUGAGGAUAUAUGCGUUAUUGAAUCAGGUAAAAGCCUUGUUGAGAUUAAAAUCUUCAUUUUCUCAAGAGUGAGCCAGGAGAGCAUCAUAAAAACUGUCGCAGCAAAAACACAAACAACACAAACAGGUUACACACUAAUGAAACUGAAGUCUAGUUAUUAUACAGUAAGGGGCUGAGACAGUCAGAAACUGUUUAUAAUGCACAAGCAGCUACAGUCUUCUAAAAUGAUUUCAAUAAAGCAGAAAAUAAGUUUUGAUAGGGGCAUAAUGCCCCAGACAUAUUGUAUAUGACAAAAAUAAUUAGGUGAUAUUUUAUUUAAAAUACUUAACAGGUUGUAAAAUCUUGGUGCCAGAAUUUUUUUGGGGAAAUGCUUCUUUGGCACUGAAGCGUAUUUGUUGUCCAUUUACACCCUCUUUCACUAUACAACAUGGGCCCUAUCUCGUGACUGCUUGAGGAGAUGUGCAGCACGCAGUUCAAGUGCUUUUACGUUUAGAAUUGGGGAUUGUGUUGUUGCUUUAAACUGAGAAAAAUGUAAAUACAUUUAACUAAUAUUUAUGACCUGGUUGUGGUACGGCCAUAUUUCUGAUUGGUCAAACCUUGUACAAAGGUCUCAAGAGCAAAAGCAGCCUGAUCACACAUAUCAAAUCCAAUCAUUUUGCAGAAUAAAGUUUUGUAAAUUUUACCUGCUCCCUGUUGUGGCAGAAAAAAAGGUGAACAAAGUGGCAAAAAUGGAAAUUUCCAUCUAAGACUAGUCUUGACAGUCUGAAAAUAACGACUUCUACUGUGCACAGAUGCUGGAUGCAAACCAUCUCCGAUUGGGAAAAUGGAGUAAGAUUAUGUCCUGCAAUCUGGGCAAUGUCAGCAUAAACGGUCAGUUUAAUUAGAUUCAUGUUUUAACUUGACUGUGAAUGGAAAUCUUCAUUUUGAUGUUAAUGUUAAUUAAUUUGAUGUUAAUUAAUUUGUUCUGCAAGAUGGCUGAACAGACUCUAAUCACUUAAUUAUUUUUUUAUUGAUGAAACCACCUUCAAAUCAUUAUCUCAAGUCAGUUUGUUUAUGUGUUUAUUUUAUAGCAGGGUAAUUAGUGGGACAAGAUGAGACCCAGGAUAUACACAGAUAAUAAGUGGGAUCAAGCAGCACAUUUAUGGUUUGUUUAAAAAAAUCAGUAUUGCCAAAGUCCAGCUGAAACUGGACUUCUAAAAACAUAUGAACAUGUUAGACUGUUUAUGCACUAAAUCAAAUUUCUCAUAGUCAGAACACAUCUGGAUAAUGAGGUUGGGUCAUGUAUGCUGCUCAAUCGAGCUGAAACUGGCCUAAGCGUUCUGUGCAUGUUCUUGUGUUUGCACGCCAGGCUAUGAAGUUAAAUAGCACGAAUGCAUUACUAGAAAGUGAGGUAGUAAACAAAACCUAGACAGAUGAAGAAAGGAUGCCACCCACCAUAGCAGAGGAGGACAUAUUUCAGUUGAUAAUUCCAGUCUUCUCCAGUGUAUAUAUACUGGGACAAGGACAGUAAUCCAGUGAGAUCACCUAAUUAAACUUUAACAGUAGCUUGACUUAACCAUUCAUGUAAAUGUGCUAAGGAAGAGACGGCCCCUUCACUUUGCAGUGGAGCCCUGCUUACCCUUUUGGGACUGUAGUUUGAUAACCACCAGUUUACUUAACAUUAUUCAUGACUUCACCAUCACCACAAUCUCCACAAAACCGUCUCUAUUCUUACACUUGCCUGAGCAUACACCUAUUUUGUAGAGUUUAAGGCCAACACUUAGUGUACAAGUCCCAACCAAAGCACAACAUCAUGAUUAUGACAAAGCAAUAAAUGAAUUUGUUCAUUCCCCUUACAUUAAUAAAGCAUGGUUGUGGCAUUCGAUCCAGGAAAGAAUAAGGUUCUCUGAUGCAGCGUGUUUUGUAGGAAAUGAAUUAUUAAUAAAGGUAAAAUAAUUUACUCGUUAAAUUGGACCUCUUUGACUCAUACAGUGUUUCAUAACUGUUAAAAAAGUUUACCAGAGAUUCAAAAGUGAUACCACAUAGUUGUUGCUUGCUUCUUACUCCUGGUUCGACAGCUCCCUGUCUUAUUGUUUUGCCACAGGUCUUUCUUGGCUGAAGUUAAAUUCUAUCUAUGCUCUGCUUUGUUGGUGCUGCUGAGAAAAUAAAACUUAGUGAGCUAUGGGCAACUUUGACUGUCUGUCCCUUUUGGCAAGACAAGACUGAACAGACACACAUAGACAGGACUUUUUAAAUAAUGUUUGUGUCUGUAUGCUUUGUCUUGCUUCGCUUAGAGGGACAACCUCCUCUUCCCUUGUGAGUCGAACUACAGUCUUGACUGAGUUUGGGAGCAUGGACGUCUCAAAGGUGAAAACUAUGCUGUAGAAAUCAUACUAAAAUGAAGGUAUGUAUUUCUCUCCAAGAAAUGUUGUCAUAGCAACGCCACAGAAAAUUCAACAAGAAAACAAGGAGGAAGAAAAAUGUGUAUGUUUGUUGUAUGUGGAGGUAUUGUUAAAAUUAGAGCUAAAAUGAGAUUUGCAAAUAUCGAUUUUUCUUUCUGAUUGCUCUUUUAAAGAGGGGGCAUUGUACUUUUCCAUUUUUAAAAUAUUGAUAGAUAAAUAUAUAUAUAUUAAUAUAAAGGUGCAAGGUUAGGUGUCCAUUCUUAACAGAUGCAAAUUUCAGAUUGCAAGGUAAAUGUAUUUUAUAAUAAUCCUAGAAUCUGGCUGUAAACUGCUCACAACUAUUAUUAUAAUAUUAUCUUCCCAGGAUACCUGUAACACUUACCGAAGCAAUGAGGUCAUUGCAUACGGCUCUAACUUGAAAUGUUGCAGGAAAUACCUCAUUUCCUUAUAAGCUGCCCAUUUAUUUAAAGCUGUAAAAUGACAGAGUAAUGAUGAAAUGGUGGUGAUUUGUAAGAUUCCCCCCAAA